rnacentral:rRNA from 2 species
CCUACGGGGGGCUGCAGUGGGGAAUAUUGGGCAAUGGAGGAAACUCUUACCCAGCAAUGCCGCGUGAGUGAAUGAAGGUCUUCGGAUUGUAAAGCUCUUUGAUUGGGGACGAAUAAAUGACGGUACCCAAGGAACAAGCCCCGGCUAACUAUGUGCCAGCAGCCGCGGUAAUACAUAGGGGGCAAGCGUUGUCCGGAAUGACUGGGCGUAAAGGGUGUGUAGGCGGUUUCGCAAGUUGGAAGUGUAAUACCUAGAGCUUAACUCAGGUGCUGCUUCCAAAACUGCGAGACUUGAGUGUCGGAGAGGAAAAUGGAAUUCCUAGUGUAGCGGUGGAAUGCGUAGAUAUUAGGAGGAACACCAGAGGCGAAAGCGAUUUUCUGGACGAUAACUGACGCUGAGGCACGAAAGCGUGGGGAGCAAACAGGAUUAGAUACCCCGGUAGUC